AGAUCAAUGAUGAGCACAAUCAUCUGAGGACUGUGAAGUAUUUUAAGAUGUCAAUCAGAAAACA